rnacentral:lncRNA from 1 species
CACGCUACUUCCGGUUUCCUUUCCCUCAGCUAUUCCAUGGCUUUUCGUGUGGACAAAUCGGGAGGUGGUGUAAACUGGUUUUUGGUGAAAUUCGGCUCGGCCUCAUGCGAACCUAUCUAGGUCCGUCUCUGGAGUGGCCUGUCAUCGAUCGCGCCCUCCAUCGCUGAGCGACACAAGUGGAACCCCCCAGGACUGCAUUCUGCAUGAAGAAACAGCUCAGAUUUGACCAAGAUCACACAAGUAGGAGUUGAGGAAUUGGAACCCACUAUGACUGACUCCAAAUUAAUAUAGUGUUUAUAGCCACUUACAUAAUAAUGAGGGUGUUGCUAUGCUUUCCUCUGUACAAGCUGGUGGUGUAUCAAUUCGUUCUUCCUUAACUUUGGGACUGUCACAGGGUUCCUGCAAUUCGUUUUUGACAAUGUUCAACAUAAUAUUCAAGGGGUUUUCAACUGGUGUCUUGCUGGGAGAUGGUGUACAAUCAAAUGAAGAUGUCUACAAAAUGAAAGGCCCUAUGAGUACUGAUGAAAGUUCAAAAUUCUCACAUUAAAUAACAUUUAGUCUUGUAAGACCCUUGUAUGAACAAGAGAACACACAUACAACCAAAUGCAAAUGAAACACCUGCCUCCCAACAAAAUGUGCCAUAAAGACAACCAGAAAUAAAAUAUAUAUUGCACGUUCAAA